CCUACGGGAGGCAGCAGUGAGGAAUAUUGGUCAAUGGACGAGAGUCUGAACCAGCCAAGUAGCGUGAAGGAUGACUGCACUCUGGGUUGUAAACUUCUUUUAUAUGGGAAUACAAUGUUCCACGUGUGGGAUUUUGUAUGUACCAUAUGAAUAAGGAUCGGCUAACUCCGUGCCAGCAGCCGCGGUGAUACGGAGGAUCCGCGCUUUAUCCGGAUUUAUUGGGUUUAAAGGGAGCGUAGGUGGAUUGUUAAGUCAGUUGUGAAAGUUUGCGGCUCAACCGUAAAAUUGCAGUUGAAACUGGCAGUCUUGAGUACAGUAGAGGUGGACGGAAUUCGUGGUGUAGCGGUGAAAUGCUUAGAUAGCACGAAGAACUCCGAUUGCGAAGGCAGUUCACUGGACUGCAACUGACACUGAGGCUCGAAAGUGUGGGUAUCAAACAGGAUUAGAUACCCGAGUAGUC
rnacentral:rRNA from 1 species